UAAGGGAGAGGAGGCCCAGGAAAGGAAAGCCACUUGCGCAAGGUGACCCCCUGUCAGAAGAGCUGAGACUUGAGCAGGGCUCCUCCCUACAGAGCAGCCUCUCCCAUCUCGGUAGGGCUCCUAACUCCCUCUAUCACCUCCACUACCAGCCUUCCCUCUGUGCUGGGUUAUCUGUUAAUGACAGCACCCCAGGUCUUGUCUUGAGAUUCAGCUGCCAUGGAGGUAUGAGCCGACCAAGCCCAGAGCCUCCCUCUCAUUUACUAAGCAAGUACACCCGCUGAGCUACACUUCUAGAGCCUAAACAACACCAAGAGACUGGCUGUUUCUGUCCUGGGAAGGGCUCUCUUCACCUUCUGGAAUUGCUCUCAUGCAGCCUGCCUCAGCAUCAUGCCAUGAAAUCGGGCAAGGCGGUACCUUCCCAUGAUCCUAGCACAACGGACAUGGAAGCAAGAGAAAGAUUAGAGCAUCCAAUCAAGUUCCAGACCCACCUGAGAUUCUCCUGUCUCCAAAACCAAAAAGGAACAAAGAAAACAUGAAUUGGUAAGUAUCCUUUGCGGUCAUCCCCCAUCACCAAUUUUGCUCUCCCUAGAUGAGAUGAUUUCAGUGCAGAGAAACAAAGACCCCGGCCCCUGGCCACACAGCUCCAAGGCAUGGCGCCUAUGUAAGAACCAAGCCAGAGUUCUCCAGCUCCACUUCUCAGCGUCAGCUUCUCCAGCUGCCUGGAGCAGGAGGAAGUGUCUUCACAUUUACCCCUACAGACUCCACAGAUGUGAGGGAGCAGAAGAGGCUCUUCCCAAUGCCUUCGAGGGCCCGCCGGAACCAGCCUGUGAGGUGGGCAGUCUAGGCCUUCCUCGGUACGGCUGCAGUCAUUGAGAAGCCAAGUGGUAUGAACUGUCUCUAGUUACUUAAGGAAAAGAGCAAAAGUCGCUCACCCAGAGUCAUCAGACUCUUCACAGUUCCAAGCGUGACAGAACAGGCCAGAGAAAGCAUAGCUAGGAUGCCAGGGAACUGUUAACCUCCCAGUAAAGAACCGAACUGGCUCCGGGGCACCCACUCUGGUUUACACUUGCCACCCUGAGUCAUCUUGACUAUGAGAAAUGCUCAUGCCUAGAACUGCUCUGUUGACCCAUGACCCACCAGGAAGUGUCUGCACCAAAGGGAGACAUGAAGGUGGAAGCCAUGCCACGAACUAUCCCUGGGACCAACUCAAGAAACCCAAGAUCUGCCUCAGCUUAAAAAUAAACUGGCUGGGUGGGUGGCGGUGGUGCAUACCUUUAGUUCCAGAACCCAGGAGACAGAAGCAGGCUGAGCUCUGAGAUUGAGGCUAGCCUAGUC